GUAGGGAAUCUUCGGCAAUGGACGAAAGUCUGACCGAGCAACGCCGCGUGAGUGAAGAAGGUUUUCGGAUCGUAAAACUCUGUUGGUAGAGAAGAACGUUGGUGAGAGUGGAAAGCUCAUCAAAUGACGGUAACUACCCAGAAAGGGACGGCUAACUACGUGCCAG
rnacentral:rRNA from 1 species